AUUCGUACGACCUAGAGUACAGUGAGGUCUAUGACUACAGUGAAGGAGAAGGAGCCACUGAAACUGCCCCAACCGAAGGAGGCAAACCUGCACCUGAGGCUGUGGACGGAGCUCAACCCGCUGAGAACCCUACAGACUCAACCGUUUCAAUCCUGAACUACGACGAGACAUAGC